UACGUAGGGUGCAAGCGUCAAUCGGAAUUACUGGGCGUAAAGCGUGCGCAGGCGGCUUUGUAAGACGGAUGUGAAAGCCCCGGGCUCAACCUGGGAAGUGCAUUCGUGACUGCAAGGCUAGAGUGUGUCAGAGGGAGGUGGAAUUCCGCGUGUAGCAGUGAAAUGCGUAGAGAUGCGGAGGAACACCGAUGGCGAAGGCAGCCUCCUGGGAUAACACUGACGCUCAGGCACGAAAGCGUGGGGAGCAAACAGG
rnacentral:rRNA from 1 species